rnacentral:tRNA from 2 species
GGCUGCGUAGCUCAGUUGGUUAGAGCAGCGGAUUCAUAAGCCGCGGGUCGGUGGUUCGAAUCCACCCGCAGCCACCA